CCUACGGGAGGCAGCAGUGAGGAAUAUUGGUCAAUGGACGAGAGUCUGAACCAGCCAAGUAGCGUGAAGGAUGACUGCCCUAUGGGUUGUAAACUUCUUUUAUAUGGGAAUAAAACAGGGUAUGCAUACCCUCUUGUAUGUACCUUCUGAAUAAGUAUCGGCUAACUCCGUGCCAGCACCCGCGGUAAUACGGAGGAUCCGAGCGUUAUCCGGAUUUAUUGGGUUUAAAGGGAGCGGAGGUGGGUUGUUAAGUCAGUUGUGAAAGUUUGCGGCUCAACCGUAAAAUUGCAGUUGAAACUGGCAGGCUGGAGUACAGUAGAGGUGGGCGGAAUGCGUGGUGUAGCGGUGAAAUGCUUAGAUAGCACGAAGAACUCCGAUUGCGAAGGCAGCUUACUAAACUGCCACUGACAUUGAUGCUCGAAAGUGUGGGUAUCAAACAGGAGUAGAUACCCGUGUAGUC
rnacentral:rRNA from 1 species